UUUCAAAUCAAAUCUCUUUCCAAAACCGAUCAUGUAACAUCCAAAAUCACUUUAUUAGACUUCGGUAGGAUCGUGCAUCCGGAAAAACACCACCCAUUCCCUUCCCUUGGUGUGCCUGCCCAGCAUUUUUUAAUUUUACCGACAAGAACAAACUAUUUCCAAUAUUCUCUUUUCUCCCCUUUUAUCUUCUCAAAUUUUUCGCCCUCCGUAAACAUAGUAUUAGGGUUUAUAUGUCACUUCUGGAAAUUAAAAAAAUACCGCUUGAUAACUGCCCAGCUAUCAGCUGCCGGCGGCUCAAUGGUCGGAUUUUAUUUUUGCAUUACUCAUUGAAGUCUCUUAUUAUUUUUCUUGUGCUAUUCAACCCUUGAAGCAGAUAGUGAUUAAGUAUAUGCUCUACCGAUUUCUUCAAUUUCUAAGUUUUAUGUAUGAAAUUGUAUGCGAUUUUGGAGUCUCUUGGCCUCUGACUAGUGAAACUCGAGGUUGAUUUCUGUCUCUUUGUUGCUAAGUGCUUGCCAUUUGAUGAAAGAGGCCUUUUCUGUUGUAUUUUAAUGAGCUGAACAUUUUGAUUGAUAGAAAAAAAAAAAAUGAAGUGAGAGAGGGCUUGAAUGGAAACUCGACAAAAGCAGGAGGACUUCUUGUGCACUUUUUUCUUCAUAUUCAUGCCUAAUAGGUGUAGGAUUUCUUUUUCCUCAGUGACAUGUAGAUACAGAUGCAUCAAUCACACAUACGAGAUAUCUGUUUGUCCUAUAUUUUACUUUAAAAUGGGAAGAAUAAAUAUAAUAGAAACCUAGGAUUGGUGUGGUUGAAGAUGAAUUGAAGUCCUUUGGAUGGUGCCAGCAUUGGAUCAUAUAAGAACUCCUCAUUAGGUAUCUGUAAAUCCCAUUUGAAUUUUCUCACAAUAUUAUGCAAGAAAACAAGUAUCUCUAUACAAGCAAAUUCAUGCCCCAAGCACAUCCUUGAUGCCCCUUCAAAGGGAAUGUAUGAAUAUUGAGCAGGUCCUCCUGCAAACUUGAAGCAUCAAGGUCUUCUGGAUUUGGACAAACAGCUGGAUCUUUUUAUGUUGAGCCAGUGCUCAUAUACAAAUAGCAUAACUAAGGAAGCAACUUUGUAUUAAUGAGAGAUAUUUUCCCUGCUAUGGUAUAGUCCAUGAUGCAUAUAUUUCAUUCAA